GAGCUUCACUGGAGGUGGGAUAUACAUAUGUAUGUAUCUGUUAUAAUCUGAAAUGUGUCCCUCAAAAUUCAUAUUUGAAGCCCUAACCUCCUCAUACCUCAGACUGGGACUGUAUUUGGAGAUGAGGCCUUUAAAAAGAUAAUUAAGGUAAAACGAAGGCAUUAGAAUGGGCUCUAAUCCAAUAUGUCAGGAGUCCUUAUAGGAAGAGGAGAUGAGGACACAGACACCCACAGAGGGAAGACGGUGUGAGGACACAGGGAGAGGACACCAUCUGCAAGCCCAGGAGGGAGGCCUCAGGAGAAACCAAUCCCGCCCACACCUGGAUGUGGGGCUUCCAGCCCCCAGCACUGCGAGGGAAUAAAGCUCCGUUGUGUAAGCUGCCGCAUCUGUGGUAUUUUAUUAUGGCAGCCCCAGCUACUAAUACAGUACCCCUACCGAUACAUACAUAUUUACCCACAUGUAGCCACACACAUGUGCACAUAUGUAAUCUUUUUGCCUAUAAAAAAGUAAGCAAUGCCUAAAAGUACAGGUGGAGAGAAGGCUAAAAAGCACAGGCUCGAAGAGACUGCCAAGAUACAACGAUCCAACAAAGACACAUCGUAUCAACAGUAAUGAUUUCCUAAAUGUGAAGGUAAUUUGGAUGGCUGGUUUAUAGUUUUCAUGCCCGGGAGUUUU
rnacentral:lncRNA from 1 species